GCCAGUGUGGUGAAGUGGUUUGAGCAUUUAGACUAGGAUCCUGGAGACCAGGGUUCAAAUCCCAGCUCAGCCA